GUCGGUUACACGCGCCAUGUCGAGAAGGUCAGCGCCUUCCUCGACAGGACGGCCAUGAUGAGGAGGUCGGACUCGGCCGUUAAGGCCGCCAUGUUGGACGAGUCAGAGGGUGUUUGGGCUGUGCAUGUCCAGUAAGCAAUUGAGUCAGCUGUCCUGAAAACUGGAGGAUCUCGUUGGAGAAAAAAAAUCACUUGAGCUGAUUGUGAGAAAUUGAACAGUAGCAGAAGGAGGAAGAUGAGAGAAGAAAGGAGCCACCAUGUCCAAAUAAGCAGAUAAUGGAGUGAACUGGUGUGGUGGAACCCAGAAGGACGAGGAGGAGUGUUGGACCCAGUUGCUCCCAACCACAUGCUUUAUAGAUUCCUGGGUCUUGUCUUCAUUUCUCUCCCCACAUGCUGUGCAGCCCCCUCUCCCCAUUUACUACCUGGCCGCAUUUGCAGGGAACCUGCAGCUGCUCUUGAUCAGUCCGUGCAUUGAAUGUGAAUGUGUAGUGUGCAAGGUCUGGGUCCCCUGCAAGGUUCGGAUGUUCCUCGGGAGCAUUCAGAGCACCCCAGAAGAGAUUCGUUUUAAGCGUUGGGGUCUUCUUGUUCCCGAACUACUCUCUGUGGCUAAGCCCUCACAGUGGUCGCGGUGGGUGGAAAUCCAGAACAGGCACUGUGUCUAAUUGUUGGUAACCUAUGGAUGGAGGGAGCUGUGGUGCCUAUCUGGUCCCAGUUUAUAAAUAAAUGAACAUUCAUUAAUGUAAAAUUAAAUUAGACUGAAAUUUCCCAUCCAGUUUUGUUUAGAAGGCAGAAAUAACUGGGUUGGCUGUGUAAUUUUGCUGCAGAUACUGGAGCAUGUAGUCACAAGGUGAUAAUAAUAAUAGUAAUUUGCUCUUUGUUGGUGCCUUCGUCCCCAGAUCUCAAGGCAGAUAUUACCACCUUGCUUUUGCAAAGGUUCAUUGAGGUUAAAGGGCUAGCUAGAAGUUAUCAUCAAGGGGGUGAGUGCAGAGGCCUUAAAACUUUUUGGCCCAUUAGACCUUGAGCUUGUCAGUAAACAGAAAGUGGAAGAGGAUCCAGGAGACCAGAAUUCCAGACCUUGCUCUGUGUGGGUAAAAUUGUAACUUAUCCAGAAUACCUCCCCGGGCUUUAGUACAUAUGCACAUCAACAGGAGCUCAAGGGUGGAGAGAAGUACCGCUUUAGUGGAUUUGCAUAAUUCCUCAGGGGUGGAGAGUUUAUCUCCAUAUCAGUGGGUAAUUACCUGGGCAACAGAGGGCUUAUCUGUACCUGAGAUGUGAGGAGGAGGGUCGGUUUUGCUGCUGCUGAAGCAGGAGAGAGGUGGGUCGGACUGGGACUGAAGUUUGUAAGCAAUAAACGGGUUUUAAACUUUAUUUCUCCCUUUGACUGAUUUUGUUUUUUAGAGGUAUUUUGCCCCAGGAUUUCCUUUCCCUGGACUUAUAUCUGGUGCAGUUGGCAGGGUUUCUCUGAACCCAAAAUCUUAUAAUGGGUGUGACCUUUGGGAGGGCUGCCCCAAGAAAUGAUGGGGAGAAGUGGAGUUUGCA